rnacentral:rRNA from 1 species
UGGGGAAUUUUGGACAACGGGCGAAAGCCUGAUCCAGCAAUGCCGCGUGUGUGAAGAAGGCCUUCGGGUUGUAAAGCACUUUUGUCCGGAAAGAAAUCCUUGGCUCUAAUACAGUCGGGGGAUGACGGUACCGGAAGAAUAAGCACCGGCUAACUACGUGCCAGCAGCCGCGGUAAUACGUAGGGUGCAAGCGUUAAUCGGAAUUACUGGGCGUAAAGCGUGCGCAGGCGGUUUGCUAAGACCGAUGUGAAAUCCCCGGGCUCAACCUGGGAACUGCAUUGGUGACUGGCAGGCUAGAGUAUGGCAGAGGGGGGUAGAAUUCCACGUGUAGCAGUGAAAUGCGUAGAGAUGUGGAGGAAUACCGAUGGCGAAGGCAGCCCCCUGGGCCAAAUACUGACGCUCAUGCACGAAAAGCGUGGGGGAGCAAAACAGGAUUAGAUACCCUGGUAGUCCACGCCCUAAAACGAUGUCAACUAGUUGUUGGGGAUUCAUUUCCUUAGUAACGUAGCUAACGCGUGAAGUUGACCGCCUGGGGGAGUACGGUCGCAAAGAUUAAAAACUCAAAGGAAUUGACGGGGUCAUAGCUGUUUCCU